AAUGAACGCUGGCGGCGUGCCUAACACAUGCAAGUCGGAUGUGCCGCAAGGUGCAUGGCAGACGGGUGAGUAACGCGUAGGGAAUCUACCUUUUUGUGGGGAAUAACGCUCCGAAAGGAGUGGUAAUACCGCAUGAGACCGUGACCUGGGAUGGUUACGGUGAAACCUGGGGACCGCAAGGCCUGGGGCAAAAAGAGGAUCCUGCGUCUGAUUAGCUAGUUGGUGAGGUAAUGGCUCACCAAGGCGACGAUCCGUAACUGGUCUGAGAGGAUGAUCAGUCACACCGGAACUGAGACACGGUCCGGACUCCUACGGGAGGCAGCAGUGGGGAAUAUUGGGACAAUGGGCGAAAGCCUGAUCCAGCAAUACCGCGUGUGUGAAGAAGGCCUCGGUGU
rnacentral:rRNA from 1 species